rnacentral:ncRNA from 1 species
UUAAAUACGUUGACGAGGAUCAGUACAUUUGUGGUUGGAAUUCAGAGAGCUGUUGGCCGGUGUGAAACAGCAGAAGACACUUAUGGAACUCCCCUCCGAGUGGCUGCCCCAACGACCGGUUUAUUUUUUCCGGUUCAGUAGACGCAGACGGAUGCUCACCGUUACAGGAGCAGGAUAUACCAUCUGGCUGAUCGCAUCAGAUAGUAUCCAUGAGAGCACGAGGAUUCGUGAAGAAGAGUGGUACCGCGUAGAAUAUCCUACGUCUCUUUC